rnacentral:rRNA from 1 species
GCGCACUUUUUAAUCCAUAUCCCCUUGUGUGCAAUGUCAGUUGCUCUCUUUUUUGAGAAUGACCAAACAUCAACUUAAAUUUGACUCUUUGUCUGAAAAAUAUUAUGAAUAAAAUAAUUCAAAAUACAACUUUCAACAACGGAUCUCUUGGCUCUCGCAUCGAUGAAGAACGCAGCGAAAUGCGAUACGGAAUGUGAAUUGCAGAAUUCAGUGAAUCAUCGAAUCUUUGAACGCAUCUUGCGCUCGCUGGUAUUCCGGCGAGCAUGUCUGUUUGAGUGUCGUGAACUCUUCAACCUCUAAUUUUUCUUUAUUGAGAUUUUAGAAAGGCUUGGAUUUUGAAUGCUGCUGAAUUUGUUUAUGCAAAUUGUUAGCUCGUUCGUAAUACAUUAGCAUCCUAAUCUUCGAGAUCAGAUUGACUCGGCGUAAUAGACUAUUCGCUGAGGAUUAUGUUUUUUAUUAAGCAUAAACUGAACUUGGAAAAUUGAAAGCUUCUAAAACGGACUAUUAGCCAAAAAACCUAAGAUGAGACCUCAAAUCAGAUAGGAUUACCCGCUGAACUUAAGCAUAUCAAUAAGCGGAGGAA